rnacentral:rRNA from 1 species
CCUACGGGCGGCAGCAGUGGGGAAUAUUGGACAAUGGGCGAAAGCCUGAUCCAGCCAUGCCGCGUGUGUGAAGAAGGCCUUCGGGUUGUAAAGCACUUUCAGUGGGGAAGAAAGCCUUGGGGCUAAUACCCUCGAGGAAGGACAUCACCCACAGAAGAAGCACCGGCUGAACUCCGUGCCAGCAGCCGCGGUAAUACGGAGGGUGCGAGCGUUAAUCGGAAUUACUGGGCGUAAAGCGCGCGUAGGCGGUCUGAUAAGCCGGUUGUGAAAGCCCCGGGCUCAACCUGGGAACGGCAUCCGGAACUGUCAGGCUAGAGUGCAGGAGAGGAAGGUAGAAUUCCCGGUGUAGCGGUGAAAUGCGUAGAGAUCGGGAGGAAUACCAGUGGCGAAGGCGGCCUUCUGGACUGACACUGACGCUGAGGUGCGAAAGCGUGGGUAGCAAACAGGAUUAGAUACCCCAGUAGUC